AGCGAACGCUGGCGGAAAGCAUAAAACAUGCAAGUAGAACGAACCAAUAGGAAUAAGUGGAGGAAAGAAAAGAAAAACGAAAAAAAGAACAUAACAAAAAAGAAAAAAACAGGGACAAUUGUGCUAAUAUCGAAUGUGCCCUUCGGGGGAAAGAUUAAUCGCCUUUAGAGCGGCCCGCGUCUGUUUAGCUAGUUGGUUGAGGUAAUGGCGCACCAAGGCGACGAUCAGUAGCUGGUCUGAGAGGAUGAUCAGCCACAUUGGGACUGAGACACGGCCCAAACUCCUACGGGAGGCAGCAGUGGGGAAUCUUGCGCAAUGGGCGAAAGCCUGACGCAGCCAUGCCGCGUGAAUGAUGAAGGUCUUAGGAUUGUAAAAUUCUUUCACCGGGGACGAUAAUGACGGUACCCGGAGAAGAAGCCCCGGCUAACUUCGUG
rnacentral:rRNA from 1 species